UACGUAGGGCGCAAGCAUUAAUCGGAUUUACUGGGCGUAAAGGGUGCGUAGGCGGGGAAGAAAGUUAGAUGUGAAAUUCCGGGGCUCAACCCCCGGCGCUGCAUCUAAUACUACUUCUCUUGAGGGUAGGAGGGGAAAGGGGAAUUCCACAUGUAGCGGUGAAAUGCGUAGAUAUGUGGAGGAACACCGAUGGCGAAGGCAAUCCCCUGGGCCUGCACUGACGCUCAUGCACGAAAGCGUGGGGAGCAAACAGG
rnacentral:rRNA from 1 species